GACUCUCGGCAACGGAUAUCUCGGCUCUCGCAUCGAUGAAGAACGUAGCAAAAUGCGAUACCUGGUGUGAAUUGCAGAAUCCCGCGAACCAUCGAGUUUUUGAACGCAAGUUGCGCCCGAAGCCUUCUGGCGGAGGGUACGUCUGCCUGGGCGUCA
rnacentral:rRNA from 7 species